UACGGAGGGUGCAAGCGUUAUCCGGAUUUACUGGGCUUAAAGGGUGUGUAGGCGGGUUUUUAAGUCAGUGGUGAAAUCUCCGGGCUCAACCCGGAAACUGCCAUUGAUACUAUUAGUCUUGAAUUUUGUUGAGGUAGGCGGAAUAAGUCAUGUAGCGGUGAAAUGCUUAGAUAUGACUUAGAACACCAAUUGCGAAGGCAGCUUGCUAAACAAACAUUGACGCUGAGGCACGAAAGCGUGGGGAUCAAACAGG
rnacentral:rRNA from 1 species